GCCUAAAUUAAAUCUGAGGCCAGUUAAGUAUGCAUUGUAUUUUUGUAACAGAAUUUCCCCCAUUUCACUGGCAAAUAUUUUUGUAUAUCCCAAAGAGUUAACAUAGCCACAAAGCUAUUAUCACAUUGUCUCUUCAAAAAGUCAUGUCAUGGGGGGAAAAAUGUGUAGGAGGGCUUUUCAGAUUAACGAGACUAAAGAGCUGAACCAACUAAAUGCAAUGCUUAAAGCUUCAUUUGAUCCAGUGGAACUAGAAUGUAUUAUGCUAAGCAAAAUAAGUCAGAGAAAGACAAAUAUCAUAUGAUUUCAAUCAUAUGUGGAAUUUAAGAAAAAAAAACAGAUGAACAAGGGGAAGAGAAGGAAAAAUAAGACAAAAACAGAGAGGGAAGCAAACCAUAAAACUCUUAAUACAGAGAACCAACUGAGGGUUGCUAGAGGGGAGGUAGGUGGAGCGAUUAAAUAGGUGAUGGGCAUUAAGGAAGACACUUGUGAUGAGCACUGGUUGUUCUAUGUAAGUGAUGAAUCACUAAUUCUACUCCUGAAGCCAUUAUUAUACUAUAUGUUAACUAACUGGGAUUUAAAUUAAAAAAAAAUUUUUU